UACUGCCUUUUGUUCAAUUAAUGCACAAAAACCUUAUUAUGGCUGGUGCUAGUAGUUUUUCACUUUCUCCAUAGCAUAAAACCCAUCUUUGCAGAGAUUAAACCAAAAGAUUUUGUUCAGUGGAAUUGUGGUAUCAAAUACAAUUAAAACUAACAUAACUCAACAGUCUGGGGAAGUCCGUCAAACAACGAUAGCAUUUGAAGUGUUUCUAGUUGCAUACAAAAGAAUGUCCAUCGCCUCACAAAAACCAUGCAUCAUGUAUGGUCUUAGUCUAUAUAGCGGAAGGAAUCGACAGCAAGCGCCUGCAAAACAGGGCACAUCCUGCUGUACCAAUCAUGCAUUGUGGAAGACAUGGGCAUGGCUCAAACACGCGGCGAUGUCCUCUGAAGCAGCUUGAAGCAAACGGCUAACCCCUGCUUGAUAACCCUGAACACUGCAACAGGAAAUGAAACUAUUUUAGAACCGGUAAUUAGCAAUAUUUUGUAGAAAAACCGAAGUUAACCCAACCGGAUGGAUUGUCUUUUCUUGAGCAGAAGACAGGAAUGCUUUUUCUAACAACUACUGCUACAUAUAUCACUUGUUGAAAUCUCUAGAAAGACAAAUAUUUAGGAACGGAGGGAGUAGAAGGAACUGCAUUAAGAUUCCCAAGGAGAAGGUAACCUAUAUAGUCCAACAAAUUGGUUCAACAACUCGACAUAAUUGUACUCCCUCCGUCCUAAAAAGGUUGUCUUAGAUUUGUCUAGCUACGGAUGUUUCUAGAAACGUUUUAGUGUUAGAUACAUCCGUACCAAAUUACUUGUCUUUGUCUAGAUACAGAUAUUUUUUUCCCCGCAAAAAAGAAAAACAAACAAAAACAUCCAUAUCUAGACAAAGACAAGUAAUUUGGGACGGAGGUAAUAGAUGUCAAGUCAUGUGAGUUUACUAUAGACAAAUAGCUUGUUUUGUUGGUUGUGGGUUGAGUUCAAAGUUCAAAGUACAGAGCCUUACUCUGGGAAAUUCUCAGGUAAAUUUAUGACAUAUUUGGAUUACAACAAGUAGCAUUGUACCAAAAGAAUUGUGCAUACAUGUGAGUAAAAUAGAAGGCCUUGUUUUUGCUAGAGUCAUUCCCUAAUCAGGCUAGGAAAAGAGUUACUCCUUCCGAUCUAAAUUAAUUGACGCUCCUUUAGUACAACUUUACUUUGUACUAAAGUUGUACUCCCUCCGUCCUAAAAUAAGUGUCUUGAGCUUAGUACAAAUUUAUACUAGAGCUAGUACAAAGUUGAGACACUUAUUUUGGGACGGAGGGAGUACUAAAGGAACGUCGAGGGAGUACAUACAAAAAGGCGAAUGUGUAACGGAAUCCCACUUGUGCUCCAGCGGAAACAUGGAGCUUUGGAGUACAUAUAUAGCUUGGUAGUACUCCACCAUUUACAUGAAACCUGUAAUUUCAAAUGUCAUUCAUCAAAUAUUUGAUUAUUCAUUUAACUCUAAUAAAGUCCCGUUUUGUGCUAUUUCCCCCCCAUGUUUCCCACUCGGAAACAUGGAAAAGAGUUACUCCUAUCGAUCUAAAUUAAUUGACGCUCCUUUAGUACAACUUUACUUUGGAGUACAUAUAUAGCUUGGUAGUACUCCACCAUUUACAUGAAACCUGUAAUUUCAAAUGUCAUUCAUCAAAUAUUUGAUUAUUCAUUUAACUCUAAUAAAGUCCCGUUUUGUGCUAUUUUCCCCCCAUGUUUCCCCCAUGUUUCCCACUCGGAAACAUGGAAAAGAGUUACUCCUACCGAUCUAAAUUAAUUGACGCUCCUUUAGUACAACUUUACUUUGUACUAAAGUUGUACUCCCUCCGUCCUAAAAUAAGUGUCUUGAGCUUAGUACAAAUUUAUACUAGAGCUAGUACAAAGUUGAGACACUUAUUUUGGGACGGAGGGAGUACUAAAGGAACGUCGAGGGAGUACAUACAAAAAGGCGAAUGUGUAACGGAAUCCCACUUGUUGUGCUCCAGCGGAAACAUGGAGCUUUGGAGCACAUAUAUAGCUUGGUAGUACUCCACCAUUUACAUGAAACCUGUAAUUUCAAAUGUCAUUCAUCAAAUAUUUGAUUAUUCAUUUAACUCUAAUAAAGUCCCGUUUUGUGCUAUUUUCCCCCAUGUUUCCCACUCGGUAUUUUUUUUGCAAUAGGUCUUCGUGCCCGCUACACACGCUGAUCGACCAUCUCGAUCACAUGCAGAGCAACAACCUCGCCAUGUUGUCACAUAACCUCGCCAUAUGUUGUCACACAACCUUUUUUCUUAGUCUACAUAUACGACCUGAGCAUGCGUAAUGAAAAGAGGGGUGAUGCAUCAUCUUGUGUGAUUCUAAACUGUAUGAAAAUUAAUUACCUUCACACAGUUCAAUCAAGUGAAUUGUACGUCUACAAUCAAAUUCACAGUACUAUUGGAUAUAUAAACAAAGCACUACCCAUGAAAUUAAGAACAUGACAAGUUAAAUAAAUAUUCAUUGUGCCCACCAUGUUUCCACAUUGAUGCAAUUUUGAAAGGAUAUAUCGACCGUCCUAGAUCUUUCACAUGACAAAGCAUUACUCGAGAUCAUCAUGAACACUGCUCUUGGUUCUGCCUUUGAUACUCUGCUAGCAUGAAUAUGCAAUUAGAAGAAAUAUAUACCAACUUGUCUGCUAGCAUAGGAUCUCAGAUGUUUACAAAUAGUAAUAUGAUAAUUGUUAGAGUUAUUUAUAUUUAGCCGUGUGCCCUUUGUAUUUUCUCCAUUCUAUAAGGGGCCUUUUGCAUAUUGUAUCACACCUGUACAUGUAUAUAUAUCGGCCUAUGGCCACCUGGAAAUACAAGUUGCAUAUUUCCUAACAUGGUACUAGAGCCCUAGGUAUUUUUAUUCGCACGCACAAGUCGUGCUGAUCCCCUCUUGCGUCUUCGGCUCCUCUUGGUCGAUGCUGCUUGCGCUGCCACCCCUCUCCUUGGGCUGGUGGUUGCUGUCUUUUUCCGCCCUGGUCCAUGCUUCAUCCAUGAGCCACCUCUUCGAUCCAGUCGUCAAGGUUGCCGCCGCCUGGUCAAACAACCUCCUUGCCAGAUCACUUGCCCUGGUCGCUACCCGCCGCGUAACCCCGCUUGAUUCGCUUGUCCUGAAGGCUGCUCUGGUCAACGCCUUGAAAGCUGCAUUUGUAGUUGCCUGAUCCGCCCGACCUGGUUGCUGCAGAUCUGACCAACUGGAUCUAGCCGGUCCACCCAGUCCCGUGGGCUUUGGAUUGCAAGUCAACGACACCUGACUCUUACGGCUGCACGUGCUCCUUCCACCGUCUGGCGGACUUCCUCUUUGUUGCAUCGGGUGUGUGCUCCGCUGUCCUGGAACAGAGCCGGUUCCUGAGUAGUUGAUUUCAGUUGUAAAGAAAAGGAAAGAAAAACGGGUACAAUGUCUUCAUCCUCCGCUUUGUUGCUCUCCCUUGUUGCCCAGUUUUUUUUAUGAUACUAACUACUCCCUCCGUCCCAUAAUGUAAGACGUUUUUUGACACUACACUAGCGUAAAAAAAACGUCUUACAUUAUGGGACGGAGGGAGUACACCUAGUUUGUUGCCUUUAUGUGCAUUCAUAUGUGUGGCAUUUGUCUCGGGGGCUUUCCGGCAAGGUCCCCUGUCCAUCGUGCCCGUCUUAGAAUGGUGUGGCUGAGCGUAAGCAUCGUCAUCUUCUUAAGACUGCUCGUGCAUUGAUGAUUGCCACCUCUCUUCUGCCUCAACUUUGGGCUUGUUUCCACUUCUACCUGUCUCAUCUAUAUUCAGCCGUCUGCUGCUCUACACGGUGGCAUUCCUUUCGAGGGUCUUUUUGAUCGUUCUCCUGAUUAUUCAACGCUUUGUUUGUGUUUGCUAUGUUCUUCCCGCCUCCCGCGAAUGCACCAAACUGACCGCUCAAUCUAUCGAGUGUGUCUUCUUAGGAUACAAUGAUGAGCAUAAGGGCUAUCAUUGUUGGAUCCCGUCGGUCGUCGGAUGCGUAUUUUUCGGGUUGUGACUUUUAAUGAGCCUCACCCCUUCUACCCGCGUCCAUCUUCCUCGACCUUUUCAGUGGAGGAUAUCUCCUUGCUCACUUUUCCCGACACCUAUCACUCCGGUGGAGCCCCUGUUUACCCUUCUCACUACUACUACUUCUCAGACUGCUGCAGAUCCAACGACGCCAUCUCCUAUGGUUUCCUUACCUCACUUAUCACAGGAUUCUGCACCUUCGUCAGUGGCUUCCUGGCCUCCAUCACCGAGUCUAUCGUGGUGGUUCAUCCUCGUAUUCUUCCAUCUUCUCCUCACUAUUAUACUCGCCAUUCGCAUGUCGUGGAUGAUUCUACCGAUGCGCAAUCUACUUUUGAUGUGCCAUCUUCCUUGUCUCAGCCUACUUAUGGCUACGUGCUUGCCCAUUUUCGCCUGUUGACCGCCUUGUUUUUUCUAGUGUUGGCGCUGCUGUUCUUAAGCCGACUUCGUAUCAUGAUGCUCUUGUUCAUCCUGAAUGGCAACUUGUGAUGGCAGAGGAGAUUGCUGCUCUUGUGCAGACCGACACGUGGGAUCUUCUCUCUCUUCCUCAUGUUCGUCUCAUCGCUUGAGCAUGGUCGUGAUUACGAUGAGAGUUUCGCUCAUGUGGCCCAUAUGAUCACUGUUUGCACACUUAUUUGUUGUGGCUUCUAUUCAUCAUUGGUCUGUAUCUCAGCUUGAUGUUAAGAAUGCUUUUCUUAAUGGUGACUUGCGUGCGGAGGUUUACAUGCAGCCGCCACCUAGGUAUUUUGUUCCUGAUGGCAUGGUCUGCCGUCUUCGUUGCUCUCUAUAUGGCAAGCAAGUCCCUUGUGUUUGGUUUGAGCGUUUCGCCUCUGUGGUGACUGUCGCUGGUUUAUUGACGAGCGCUCAUGAUCCUGACUGUUUGUCCACCUUUCACCUCGUGGUUGGACUCUUCUUUUAUAUGUUGAUGACAUGAUCAUCACUGGCGACAACCUAGUACAUUGAUCCUGACUGCUCAUGAUCCUGACUGUUUGUCCACCUUUCUCCUCGUAGUUGGACUCUUCUUUUAUAUGUUGAUGACAUGAUCAUCACUGGCGACGACCUAGUACAUUGACUUUGUUAAGGCACGUCUCAGUGAGCAGUUUCUUAUGUCUGAUCUUGGCUCUCUUCGCUACUUUCUUGGGAUUGGGGUCUCUUCGACCUCUGACGCCUUUUUUAUUUCCCAAGAAAAGUAUACCCAGCAUCUUGCUCGUGCUGCUCUUACUGAUGAGCGCACUGUUGAGACUCCCAUGGAGCUCAAUGUUCACCUCCGUGCUUCUCAUGGUGACCCCUUGUCUAAUCCGGCGCUUUAUCGUCAUCUUGUUGGGACUCUUGUUGAUUUAGCUGUCACUCGUUCGGGUAUCUCCUAUCCUGUUCAUGUUUUGAGUCAGUUUGUUUUUGUGCCUACUUUGGUUCACUAGUCACCCUCUUCGUGUUCAACAGUAUCUUCAUGGCAUGAUUUCUCAGAGUCUGUUCUUUCCUCGCUCUAGUUCCUUACUACUUCAGAUAUCGGAUGCUACGUGGGCUAGUGAUCUCUCGAAUCGCUGUUCACUUUCUGCUUAUUGUGUUCUCCUUGAUGGUUCUCUCAUUAUGAAGAAACAGUCUGCAGUUUUCCAUUCGAGUGCAGAGGCUGAGUUGCGAGCUAUGGCUCCUUUGACAACAGAGGUUACUUGGUUCCGGUGGUUACUUCAGUAGUUUGGUGUGUCUGUCACUACACUGACUGCAUUAUUGUCGUACAAGUGCUGUCAGCUUUGCGCUCGACCCUGUGAAGCAUGAGCUCACCAAGCAUAUUGGUGUUGAUGCUUCAUUCAGGUUGUUGCUCUUCAGUAUUUGCCUUCCGAGUUAGAGUUGCUGGACUUCUUUACGAACUUUACGAAGGCCCAAGCUACAGCACAACACGGCUUCUAUCUCUCAAAACUCAGUGUUGUUGAUCCACCAUGAGUUUUUUUUUGGGGGGGGGUUGUAUUUUCUCUUUUCUAUAAGGGGCUAUCUUCAUAUUGUACCAGGUAUUGCAUAUUUUCUAACAACUUUGAGUACCCAAUUGUGAUAGAGAGAACAUAUCAGAAGGACAUACAUGUAGGACUUUGGUGUAGUUAACAAGUUAGAGAUAGAAAUUAAGUGUAUUAUUAUCUAUGCUUUGCUUGCUAAUCCAAGUAAAGAUAAAUAAAAUGAUUGUAACAGGGAGAAAGUUACCGGCUAAAUUUCUAAGGGGCGUAUGCCCAGUUAUCAAAAA